rnacentral:rRNA from 1 species
AGGGUGUAAACGCUGCAGACUUGGUGUUGGAGGCCCUUUGGGGGCAUUCAGUGCCGGAGAGAAGUUGUUAAGUCUGCUACUUGGGGAGUACGUCCGCAAGGAUGAAACUUAAAGGAAUUGGCGGGGGAGCACCGCAACGGGAGGAGCGUGCGGUUUAAUUGGAUUCAACACCGUAAACUCACCAGGGAAGACUGUUACAUGAAAGCCGAGAUGAAGACUCUGCUAGAUUUUUCAGAGAGGAGGUGCAUGGCGUCAGUGACU